UGAGGAAUAUUGGGCAAUGCCCGCAAGGGUGACCCAGCAACGCCGCGUGGAGGAUGAAUGUCGUAAGAUUGUAAACUCCUGUUAGAGGGGAAGAAUAGUACCGGUUGGACCGGUAUAUGACUGUACCCUCAGAGAAAGCCCCGGCUAACUACGUGCCAGCAGCCGCGGUAAUACGUAGGGGGCAAGCGUUGUCCGGAUUUACUGGGUGUAAAGGGCGAGCAGGCGGGAUAAAAAGUCAGUGGUGAAAUCCUACAGCUUAACUGUAGAACUGCCUUUGAUACUUGUAUUCUUGAGUUCGGGAGAGAGUGACGGAAUUCCGGGUGUAGUGGUGAAAUACGUAGAUAUCUGGAAGAACACCAGUUGCGAAGGCGGUCUCUUGGUCCGACACUGACGCUGAGGCGCGAAAGCGUGGGGAGCAAACA
rnacentral:rRNA from 1 species